GCGGAUCAGUGGCGAACGGGUGAGUGACACGUGAGUAACCUGCCCUUGACUCUGGGAUAAGCGUUGGAAACGACGUCUAAUACCGGAUAGGACUUCCACAGGCAUCUGUGGAGGUGGAAAGAUUUUUCGGUCAUGGAUGGACUCGCGGCCUAUCAGCUUGUUGGUGGGGUGAUGGCCUACCAAGGCGACGACGGGUAGCCGGCCUGAGAGGGUGACCGGCCACACUGGGACUGAGACACGGCCCAGACUCCUACGGGAGGCAGCAGUGGGGAAUAUUGCACAAUGGGCGAAAGCCUGAUGCAGCAACGCCGCGUGAGGGAUGACGGCCUUCGGGUUGUAAACCUCUUUUAGCAGGGAAGAAGCGAAAGUGACGGUACCUGCAGAAAAAGCACCGGCUAACUACGUGCCAGCAGCCGCGGUAAU
rnacentral:rRNA from 1 species